UUGAGCUGGAUGGCGAUCCCGCGGCCGUGCGCUUCGUUGAUGCCGAAACGAAUCGAUCGGAAUGUCGACGCAAGGAACGUCGUAUACAUCGUCUGCUCGAGCGACUUGUCGAGCUUGCCCCGAUCGACCAGAAACUGCAGUGCGAACAAGCCCGAAAUAUCAGCUUUGGCCUCUUCGAUUGCGCUGUAGGUGUCCUUGAACUCGAGUCGCACCGUCGUCGCACGGCCACUGACGUUGAUGUUGUGCGGACCAAGGCCGUGCAUCAGCUCGUGCAUGAGAAUGUGCGUGAAGAACGCAGC
rnacentral:misc_RNA from 1 species